rnacentral:rRNA from 1 species
UACGUAGGGGGCUAGCGUUGUCCGGAUUUAUUGGGCGUAAAGCGCGUGUAGGCGGCCAGGUAGGUCCGCUGUGAAAACCCGAGGCUCAACCUCGAGACGCCGGUGGAAACUGCAAAGCUAGAGUCCGGAAGAGGAGAGUGGAAUUCCUGGUGUAGCGGUGAAAUGCGCAGAUAUCUGGAGGAACACCGGUGGCGAAGGCGGCAUCCUGGACCGACACUGACGCUGAGGCGCGAAAGCGUGGGGAGCAAACAGG